UACGAAGGGGGCUAGCGUUGCUCGGAAUCACUGGGCUUAAAGGGCGCGUAGGCGGGCCGGACGGUCCGCGGUGAAAUCCCCCGCUCAACGGGGAACGGCCGCGGAUACCGCCGGCCUCGAGGGGGUAGGGGCGAGCGGAACGCUGGGUGGAGCGGUGAAAUGCGUAGAUAUCAAGAGGAACACCUGAGGUGAAGACGGGUUGCUGGGCUGACACUGACGCUGAGGCGCGAAAGCCAGGGAGCAAACAGG
rnacentral:rRNA from 1 species